AUAAAGGGACAGGGUGGCUUAUGUGACACUGCAUUUGGUUGGGGAGUCCUGUGACUCCAUCUUUAUGCCUGAGAACCAGUUCUUGUACAAGGGAAGAGCACAUCUAGCUUCAUCUUUAGAGCUAAAAGCAACGGGGCAUGAAACUUGCUUUCAAUAAGCAAAUGUCAAUCUUCAUCCGAUGGGUCCCGGCAUAUGAGGAAGCUGUGAAAGCCAGCAGACUAUUGCAAGCAGUAGCCCUUCUGACUUAACUCCCUGAGGAGGUGCUGGCUUUGGGGCUAAGGUUGUCACAGUCUAUCAUUACUUUAAAAAAAAAAAUCCACAUCUUUUUUUUUACCCCUUACAAAGGGAGAGGAAGCAAGCAUACGGACUCCUAUUUUCUGUGUCUGAGUACGAAAGCUCUAGAAGGCUGGGGGCAUAGGAGAGGCACUUCGUUGUCAAGAUGGAGUGUGGGCCAGUUUACAGAAAUGGGGCAUCCAACGUAAGAGACUGACUUAAGAGAUGAUCAUGUAAGCCAUCAGAAAAAGGUCAAGAAACAGAGCACAGGAGGCCCUCCGAGAAAACUGAAACCAGCACUACCACAUGAGCCAACAACCCCUGGGUAUCUGCCCGAAAGAAUAAUGCUCAAAGAGACCUGGAUAAGACGCUAAAAUAUAUGUGUUUUGAUCCCAAUUAAAAAGCUAACAUAAUCAAGUUCUUAAUCUCGGCCUGCGCCUACCAUGGCUGUAACACAUCUGUCAGCGGUUGUGGGGGGCAAGACGCGCUGCUGGGUUCUGGGUUGGCAGGCCUCCCGCCUGUGUUGUGGUUACUCCACUCUGCCAUGGCACUGGAAAUCAGCUGUAGACAGUGAGGACCACACGGAGCAAAGGUAUGUAUCAACAACAGCCGCUCCCAGUGUUACCUCAACCGUAGGUGGCUGGGCUGUAGGCACAGGUUGCUGACCCUUGCAGAAGAAACAGUUAUCUGUACGUGAUGAGUUUUAUCAGCUCAUAAACACCAAAGACUCUGAAGGCCAAGAAUUAGAAGAGAGAUCUUGUGAUUUUUUUCCCCAGCAUCUAAGAUUAAAAGUCUCAGCAACAGAGGUAAGCAGACUCAACAGGAUGAGACUGUCCUUGAGGUGCAAGGCAAAUACUACAAAGUGAGUGACUGCUCCUCCCUGUGGCUAUACGUCUUCACAGAUGAGUUCCAGAGCCUUAGAACUUAGAGGAAAACAGUGUUACAGAGGGAGGAAGUCUGGUGAUUGCAUUGAAUAGACGCAAAAUCAGACUUAGACCCAAGUGUCUGCACACCAUGCAAGCAGUGCUGGGAACAGGAGCCUGACUCAGACAGAGGCUCCCCCCCCCCCCCCCCCCCCCCAAAGUUUAGUCAGGAGAAGCAGCUGUGGUACAGCCACCAGCUCUGCCAGACUUAUCUCUUAGGGCCUUAGUCUAAACAGUCUUAGUGCAGCCCUCAAGCAGAUUUUUGGUAUUUACCAAGUUCUGCCGGAGAAAAAUCAAUAAAGACACUCAAGGCCUCAAGGCCUCAUCUCAUGAAAGUCAGAGUUGCAAGCAAGGCUAUAAUUAUUAGUUCCCUUCCAAGCUGUGCCAUAUGAAAAUGGCAGGCUUUUCCUAUGGCAUUUUGGCAGCAAGAUGCAAAAUGCUUGGGGCCCACAAAUAACAAGAGCUCCAGUUAAACAUCCAAAACAAAACAAACACAGGCACACACUGAAAACCAACCAAUAAACAGCAACAACUAUGAAACAGAUACAUUUAAAGGAGUAUUAACUUUAUAAAAGGAAUUUUCACCUCACCUCAUAAAAGGGCUCAACCCAUAUACGGAAUUCUAGAAUGAGCAAAACCAGAAGAGACAAUGGAACCAGUUCCCUUCCUCUUUUGAUACCAGAACUAAGAAAAGCCCAGGAGGGUUAAAUUCUGCUUAGAUACUUAACAUUGUCCUACAGUACAAAUCAAACAAAAUAUUACCUAUGUGCUCAACCCAGAUUGUUGAUGCCAGACCUAGUCAGGCAUUGAAUUGAAGCAGGAACCAGUUUAAUCCAGAGAGCAGUAAUGCAAGGUGAAAACUGAAGGUCUCUAUCACAGGGCAGGGAGGGGGUGGCAAUCCUGUAAUAUUAAGAGGCUUCAACUCCCCUGGGAACUGCCCUCAAUUGCUAAAAGAGCCUGACCUCUGACAAGAACCAAUGAUUUCAGCAGUAAUUAAUAAAACUGUCAAAUUAAUUAACCCAAGUCUUUGUUCACAGGAGAAAAAAAACCCCAUCUAUUAUCAAUAUCGUUCUUUAUUAGUCGUUGACCAAACUCUUCGACUCAAACCUUUACCACCAGGACAGAAGGUCAUCACUGACCAAUGGCUCUCCCUAGUUCAAUUGCCAAUGUUUGUUAAUAAGCCAUACUGUACUGUGCUGUUUGAUGAUAUGAUUAGGAUCAACCGGGCUCUACAACCUAAUGGUAUUUCUAACGGAGGCAGACAGGCCUAUGAAUCCCAGCGUAUAUCACUUAGAGUUCCUAGAAUGCUUUUUAGACAUCCUUUGAAUUACUGUGAUCAAACACUAGACAAAUGCUGCAGGAUUUCAUUAAACUAUUUAGUAAAUGGCUCUGCUUAUAACCCUGGUUCCCAUGUCUUUGUCUUUAGAGGCAGAGCCCCACAAAUGCCACGUCUACAUUUCCAUACUAUCUCUUCAGAGGCUUCAGAGCUAGUUUCUUACACCCAACACAGCUUUUAUUCCAUUUAGAAUAAUUACCCUCCAUCCCAUUUCUGACUUUCAAGAAAAACAAGACACUUAAUUGACCACAGGAGCUCUCAAGGGCACAGGCUUCAGAGGUUCUGCUGGGGCUCACAACUUGAGCUGAUGUAAUCUACUCUGAGAAGCUGACUUCUAUUUUUAAAUUAUACCCUUUUAUUCUGCCUUCAAAGGGCACAUAUAUCACACAUUAACUUUGCUCAUAAAAUACCUCGUGGUACCAGGGUGAAUCAUGCUGUCAGGAGGAGCCUCCAACUGCACACAGACAACUAGCCCCGCCCAUGAAAUCCACCCAUCAGUCCUACACUUCAGCCUGCAGCCUGGCUCCAGGGCCUCACUCUCCAGGUAUCUCCUUCCUCCCAAUCAUUUUGACAAGGAGCAGAUGACUAGCAGGGUUCUUCCAGAAGGCUAGGAUCAGGAUUUCCUCUCUUUAGCUCCCCACACAAACACUUAAUAAAGACUCCUAAUGUUGAUGUGUAGAGCUGUUCGCAGCCUCUGUGCUACAAAGGGUGCCAGAUCAUUUGCUUUGUUUAAUUUUAAAUUUUCAUUCAUCAUGUCUGUCUUCUUCACUAUGACUGCGCUUUUUGAAAAGUUUCCUGAUAUUUGGGAAAUGCUGGAAAAAAAGAGUCUUGGCUGGAGGUGAAAAUUCACUUCCAAUUUGACAUUUAUUUAUGUUUAUUCUGCUUAUUUCUAAAAAUAAUAAACAGCUUUGUAAUUAGAGUGACGCUCUACUGAGUCUGCCAGAGGUCAGAACAGUGUGUUUUUCUCUGCGUUCCAUCCCUCUGAGACCCAGGCAUGCCAUGUUUCAUCUGGUUUGUACUCUUGUACUCCCUGUUCUAUCAUGAAAUCUGACUGAGCUGGUGGGAACACAAAUUUUGCUAUACCCAUCCCCUUCUCAACACUCUUCCAGCCCCUCCUGAUAGACGCCCCUUCUUUUCUAGUCCUGCUUCCCUCUGCUGCCCCAUUGCGUGGGUACCUCUGUCUCCACAAAUAGCCUCAUGUGGGCCCUGGAUACAGAUGCUAUGUUGCUUCUACCUUGGACUGUUGUCCAAGUUGACUCCUCAGUUAGAAACUCUGCUCCAUUGUCUCCCACUUCCUCCAUCUAGAUCCCUCCUAUUUGUCUUUUUUUAAAAAAAUGUUUCUGUGAGAAUAUACUCUGACAAAAAUAACCUAAUGGGAAAGGGUUUUAGUUUAUUGUUCAGGGUACAGUCUAAUAUGGCAGCAGGUUGAGGCAGAAGGAGCUUGAAGUAGCUGGUCGUUAUCACCGUCACAGUCAGAAAGGAACAAUGGAUUCAUAUAUGCACUCAACCCUCCCUCUUUCAUUUACUCCAGGACUCAACCCAUGAAACGGUACUGUCUAAAACUGAGAUGGCUCCUCCUACAUCAGUUAAUGUAAUUAAGCCCAGAGACCCAGCUUCCAGGUGAUUCUAGAAGUCAAGUUGAUAACAUGAACCAUCAAACUGUUCAUUCUUCUGUUUCCUGUGGGGUGCUACUUAUCUGGGAUCCCCCGUCUAAAUUUGUAUAUCUUUAGUAGUGUUCCACCUCAGACGACCACUCGGGAAACUGCUUUGGAUUUACUUUUUUUAUGCUCAACUGACUGCAUGAGACAGGACUUAGUGCAAUGCUGUAUUCCUCUGUGCUAGCUGCCAUGUAACUGGGCUUCAGUAUCACUUGUUGAAUGAACCAUCAUAAAUGAAUGAAUGCAUUCUAAAAAAUUCCAAGUAGGGGGCCAUAACCGUGAGGUAAGAAUCACAACUUUUCCUCCUCCAGAAUAUAUGAAUUCAGUCAAACUUCAAGUCCAGACUUUACUGGCUGAAAUGUGGGGAGGAGAUGGCACUGAGAGACAGGACCCUUGAGGUCACACCUGGAGCACGGCUGGGUCACUGUCCCAAAGGUCUUAGCAACACACUCAGUAGCACACUCCUGAGAGAUAAACAGACACUCUAAGGCGGACUCCCACUGGGACCAAGACCCUUAAGCCUACAUAGAGUGAAUUAUAAAUACAUUGCACAGAACAGAAAACUUGACACGCUAGAGAGUUAGCAGCAAGCCGCACCUCGGUGUGCCUACUUCUAACCUGAACCAUCAAUCGCAUUUAUCAAUUUCCAAAGCACCGGCGGUCACCUGCAUGAGAGGGAAUGCUGAGUGAUCUGAGGAGAGCUGACUCUGGCACCUUGAACUCUGCUUAGAAUCCUGCCACUUGACAUCUAGCAACCACCCCUAGCAGACAAACCAAAUAAACAAAGAUCCACACAAAUGUCUCCUGCCUCCCGGAGGAACUGUUUACUUGCAUUAUCUGUCACGCUGGAGGCACCCAAGACUGUUCCCUGAGUGGAUGGGUCACAGGCAAGGUGUCGCUAUGAAAGCGCCGUAGCCACUUUCAGAAAACGAAUGAGUUCUACAACAUCUACAACACUGAUGAAAACCUUCCAGUCCCACCUGUGCCUGCGACAUUGGCCUGCCUUAUUGAGAAGGCAGAUGCUGACAGUCAAAAGACCAGAGAGAAAAUGAUGCUGGCUCCCACGACAGGGAGGGAGUCUGGACUGCAAACCGAGAGAAAGUUUAACUUUGAAAGGAAUUUGUCACUCUAAGAUCUAGGGCAAGAUAUGGUGACCACUGUCUUGAGCACGUGAAGCUCUUCCCAACUCUCCCUUCCCACACUUCUUAACCCCCAGCAUGGUAAGCAGCCAGGGUUCCAGGCUCACAGUUCCAAAGUGAUGUCCCUAAAAGGAAUUUAAGCCUUUUAAGCAAUAUUUCUCAUUACCAAUGGAUCAGUGGAAAUGACUAAGGAGUUGACACAAUAUUAUGUCAAGCGUAACAUCUGGCAGAUUUUUUUUCUUUUACACCCUAAAACACACCCAGUCGCCCAGACAAAGAACUACCAACAUUGUAUACAACAACAAAAAUCAUGCCACAUGCUUAUUAAAUACUAGUGUUCGACUGCCACCCAGUGGUAGGAUGCGUUCCUGCGUGACAAACGGCUCCAAAUGGCUAGGCACUAACACAAUGUGGGGUUUAGAAAAAGGAACUGAAGAUUAUUCCUCGGUUGCUCAUCAGUUAUUCCAAGGGAGUUUAAGAGAAUAUCCAUCUCUUCGGCUCUUAUUUUCCUCAGAGAAAUUUCUGAAGAGGUCAAUAGCAGGGAAGGCUAGGGGCAUUCUCACGAAGCAUACAACUAGAGCCCACUGUCUCUGGAGAGAUCACAGACAGAAUGUUUUUAUUUUACAAACUUCAACAUGAAUUAGCAAUUAAAAAGACUUGCCAAACAGUCUGUUCUCACCGUCUAGAUCUGUGUGAGCUAUCCUAGAUUUUUAGUUACGCAUGAGGAGGCAUUUACAAGUGACAACCUUAUAAAAAGUGUGCAUUAUAUGAAAAUCUGACUUCAAUUAAAACCAGCUACUAAAUCCCAGCAUUUCCAGCUGUCUCUUCUCUUCUCCUUAGAGAAUUAUAUAUCACAUUAAUUGGUAUUCUGUCACAUUAAAAAAAUGCCAGCAAUGAUUAAUUGCAUCCUUGGUGUGUUUGAGUUAUGUCUUCCUCACCAGAGGGAUUCAAAUCACACUUGGUUGCCUUCUAGCAGGUGCCCCUUUUGACAACCUUCAGAGAACAACCUACCUUCCU